rnacentral:misc_RNA from 1 species
UCUGGGUUCUACUAUGAUGGAAAUACAGGCCUUUAUUAUGAUGGUAACAGUGGGAUCUGGUAUUCCUUUGACCACCAAACUCAGCAAUAUAUCCCUUGCACGGAUCAGAAUGACAAUCAGACUUCUGAUAAACUGUCUGAGCAUUCCAAGCCAUCAGAUACUUCCAAUAAUAGAAAAGUAAUAAUCUCAGCACCAGCUGCCACUAUUACAUCUGCUGAGAAGGUUGCUUCAUUACCUGAUGCAGUCCAGGCUGCUGCUACAGCAG